UGUCAAGCUUCCAAGAAAAGCCCUAUACCCGUUAAGGCAUGAUGGCCUGUACCCGAAACCGACACAGGUGGGGUGGUAGAGAAUACCGAGGGGCGCGAGAUAACUCUCUCUAAGGAACUCGGCAAAAUGGCCCCGUAACUUCGGGAGAAGGGGUGCCACCGCAAGGUGGUCGCAGUGAAGAGGCCCAGGCGACUGUUUACCAAAAACACAGGUCUCCGCUAAGUCGCAAGACGAUGUAUGGGGGCUGACGCCUGCCCAGUGCCGGAAGGUUAAGGAAGCUGGUCAGCGUAAGCGAAGCUAGCGACUGAAGCCCCGGUGAACGGCGGCCGUAACAAUAACGGUCCUAAGGUAGCGAAAUUCCUUGUCGGGUAAGUUCCGACCCGCACGAAAGGCGUAACGAUCUGGGCGCUGUCUCGGAGAGAGGCUCGGCGAAAUAGAAUUGUCUGUGAAGAUGCGGACUACGUGCACCCGGACAGAAAGACCCUAUGAAGCUUUACUGUAGCUUGGUAUUGUGCUCGGGCUCGGAAUGCGCAGGAUAGGUGGGAGGCUAUGAACCAUUGCUUGUGGGUGAUGGUGAGCCACUGGUGAGAUACCACUCUUUCCGAGCUAGAGUUCUAACAGCCACCCGUUAUCCGGGGGCUGGACAGUAUCAGGUGGGCAGUUUGACUGGGGCGGUCGCCUCCUAAAAGGUAACGGAGGCGCGCAAAGGUUUGCUCAGGCUGGUUGGAAAUCAGCCGACGAGUGUAAAAGCAGAAGCAAGCUUGACUGUGAGACCUACAAGUCGAACAGGGAGGAAACUCGGCUUUAGUGAUCCGACGGUUCUGCGUGGAAGGGCCGUCGCUCAACGGAUAAAAGUUACUCUAAGGAUAACAGGCUGAUCUCCCCCAAGAGUUCGCAUCGACGGGGAGGUUUGGCACCUCGAUGUCGGCUCAUCGCAACCUGGGGCUGAAGUCGGUCCCAAGGGUUGGGCUGUUCGCCCAUUAAAGCGGUACGCGAGCUGGGUUCAGAACGUCGUGAGACAGUUCGGUCCAUAUCCGGUGCAUGCGCAGGAAUAUUGAGAGGAUUUCUCCCUAGUACGAGAGGACCGGGAGGAACGCACCUCUGGUGUACCAGUUAUCGUGCCAACGGUAAACGCUGGGUAGCCAUGUGCGGAGAGGAUAACCGCUGAAAGCAUCUAAGUGGGAAGCCCACCUCAAGAUGAGUAUUCCCAUGGGGUAACCCAGUAAGGUCACGGGAAGAACACCCGUUGAUAGGCUCUACGUGGAAGCGCAGUAAUGUGUGAAGCGGAGGAGUACUAAUAGACCGAGGGCUUGACC
rnacentral:rRNA from 1 species